rnacentral:piRNA from 1 species
UAACAGUACAUUACAUCGAUGGGAAGCUGGU